CGUUUAAAUAUAAUUACUAGACGGAAAGCAGCACGCGCGGAAACCAUGCAGACGAAUGGGAUUAGGCUCCGCCUCUUUUGGAUCAUUUGAAGACAAAAUAAGCACCCGUGGCGGCUUUCUGAUUGGAUAAGAGCCUCAUGAAUAUGUAUUUUAUCGAUAGUAUCGUUUAAGAAACCGGAUAAUAUAUUUGACCUCAUUGCGUCACUUUAAUUAUGCAGAUUUAUGCACGACGCUACUACACUCGCACAAACUGAGAAGAGUUAGUUCAUUGAGAAUGGAUUGAAACUGAUGAAGAGCUUGAAGGAGUUAACUGAUGAGUAGACAUUACAACAUUUCUUAUAUUUGCAAGAUGAAGCUGAAAGUCCCAUGCAGGAUGAUGCUUCUCUACAGUGGAGGAUGAAGGCAUGCUGAUUACAAACCCAGGAGAGGAACAAAGAACAUAUAUUGGCAGAAUCACUAUAUCUAGAGAUGCGCGUGGGCCUACUACACUUCAUACGAGCAAGUGUGCUAAUAUACAAUACUUGGGUUAUCGUUACAGCCCUUUCUUCUGAAAACUAGGCUACAACUUUAUUGAUGAAUGCAAGAGACAUCUACAUGGGACUACGUCUUGAAGAUGCCACCCUCAUAUAAUGAAAGAGGACAGUAGAGAUGGGUUUAAACUUGAAUAUUUACAUGAUAUUUAUUUAUUAUUUGUAUUAUAUGUUUGUAGAAUACCACAUUCAAUAAAGCUAAUGAAUUUAUCAUCAUGUCAACUUUCAAAUGAUCAAAGAUAACUAAUCAUCAAUGAAUAAACAUUAACAUUUUAACAAUGUCAACUACCAUCUUAUGGGAGGACUGGGCCGAAAGAUUCUCCUUGAAAUUUGAGUGAUAAAGAUCUACCAGUCUAUAUCAAAGAUUGAAUUAAUUAAUUAUAUUUUAAUUAUAAUUAUACAUGUUGAAAUUCAUUUACCUCUAUGGACUUCUGUAUUUUAGAGGAUUUGUAGAGUAUUACAUUAUUGCAGUAUAAUGCUGCUUCAAGUAUUGUAUGUAAGAAGGUUUGAAAGUCAACCCUCUAAAUGCAUUAAAUAUAGAAAGACA